AUUGAACGCUGGCGGAAUGCUUUACACAUGCAAGUCGAACGGCAGCACGGGGCAACCUGGUGGCGAGUGGCGAACGGGUGAGUAAUACAUCGGAACGUGCCCAAUCGUGGGGAUAACGUAGCGAAGUUACGCUAAUACCGCAUACGAUCUACGGAUGAAAGCGGGGAUCGCAAGACCUCGCGCGAAUGGAGCGGCCGAUGUCAGAUUAGGUAGUUGGUGGGGUAAAGGCUCACCAAGCCAACGAUCUGUAGCUGGUCUGAGAGGACGACCAGCCACACUGGAACUGAGACACGGUCCAGACUCCUACGGGAGGCAGCAGUGGGGAAUUUUGGACAAUGGGCGCAAGCCUGAUCCAGCCAUUCCGCGUGCAGGAUGAAGGCCUUC
rnacentral:rRNA from 1 species